UACGUAGGGGGCAAGCGUUGUCCGGAAUCAUUGGGCGUAAAGCGCGUGUAGGCGGUUUAGUAAGUCUGCUGUGAAAGUCCAGGGCUCAACCCUGGGAUGCCGGUGGAUACUGCUGGGCUAGAGUACGGAAGAGGCGAGUGGAAUUCCCGGUGUAGCGGUGAAAUGCGCAGAUAUCGGGAGGAACACCUAUUGCGAAGGCAGCUCGCUGGGACGUUACUGACGCUGAGACGCGAAAGCGUGGGGAGCAAACAGG
rnacentral:rRNA from 1 species